rnacentral:rRNA from 1 species
AUUGAACGCUGGCGGCAUGCCUAACACAUGCAAGUCGAACGGCAGCACAGCAGUAGCAAUACUGUGGGUGGCGAGUGGCGGACGGGUGAGGAAUACGUCGGAAUCUGCCCAGUCGUGGGGGAUAACUAGCCGAAAGGUUAGCUAAUACCGCAUACGACCGAGAGGUGAAAGCGGGGGACCGCAAGGCCUCGCGCGAUUGGAUGAGCCGACGUCGGAUUAGCUAGUUGGCGGGGUAAAGGCCCACCAAGGCGACGAUCCGUAGCUGGUCUGAGAGGAUGAUCAGCCACACUGGAACUGAGACACGGUCCAGACUCCUACGGGAGGCAGCAGUGGGGAAUAUUGGACAAUGGGCGCAAGCCUGAUCCAGCAAUGCCGCGUGUGUGAAGAAGGCCUCGGUUGUAAGCACUUUAUUCAGGAACGAAAAGACGUUAGGAGUUAAUUAACUACUGU